AUGCGGAGCGCUCAUUGGCUUAGCUUCUCCGCGGGGCCGAAGGCUUUCUGGGUAGUUCCGGGGCGCCGCAGGCCUCCGCGAGGGGCGCUCCACAGCCGUCCCUGCGGAGCAACUGUCACCCGCGCCGAGAGGGUCUCUGGGAAGUGGCGCCGUCAACUUCGGAGGUUAGAGGAGCGGCUUCGCUCCCCACGUGGGCUGAAGGCGGGUUUCUGGGCGUCCUGUAUGCAGGGCCCGAGAACCGGCUCGAUCGCAGCCAACAGUUGGCAGCUCGAAUCCCGGCGGGUUCGUGUGCGCCUCCUGGGGUCGCCCGCAGAGGUGCGAUUUGGCCUCGGGGGCCACAGGUGCGAACUCGGCUCUCCAAGGGCCGCGCGGACGCGUCGCUGGCGGCUCGGGUCUGCGGCCAGAGUGAGGCCCUUCGCCCCCGGGACCGGCGGUGGAGACGCGGCGCCUGGAGGCCGGGGGGCCCGGGGGAGCCCGGCAGGGAGGAGCCCCACACAGUAACCGCGCGCGCCCGCAGCUCCCGGCUCUCCUACCCGGACCCUGAGAGCAGCUCCCCGGGCGGGCGCCUCCUGGAGGUCACGUGUGAAAGUCCAAUUCGACCUCUUGGAUUAGAAGGGGAACUCAGACUCAGAGGGGCCUGGGACGGAGACUCUGAGGUCCCCAGAGGACGUGCCCACGCCCUCUAGAUGUGUCCCCUGGCCCCUCGUUGCCCUGUCCUCCACUCGAGCUUCCGUGGGGCCUGAAAUUCCACCCCCACGGUGCCCAGCCAACGCUGUCCCCUGUCAGAUGCGACCUCUGAUCACACCUGGCCCUCUGGCUUUGCAGUAUGUCUGUUCACGGAGGGAAGGAAUUAGCCAGUUCCCUCAAGAAAACGGGAGCAGUGAGAGCCCAACACUUUCUUCAGAUUAAGGAAUUAUCUGGGGACGCCUGGGUGGCUCAUGGCUCAGUUGGUUAACCGUCUGCCUUUGGCUCAGGUCAUGAUCCCAGGGUCCUGGGAUCGAGUCCCGCAUCGGGCUCCCUGCUCAGCAGGAAGCCUGCUUUUCCCCCUGCCUGCCGCUAUCCCCUGCUUGUGCCGCUAUCCCCUGCUUGUGCCGCUAUCCCCUGCUUGUGCUUUCUUUCUCUCUCUGACAAAUAAAUAAAAAAUCUUAAAAAAAAAAAAAAAAGGAAUUGUCUGAUACAAUAAAUAUUAAGGUACCUUGUUAGUUC
rnacentral:lncRNA from 1 species